rnacentral:rRNA from 1 species
CCUACGGGAGGCAGCAGUGGGGAAUAUUGCACAAUGGAGGAAACCCUGAUGCAGCGACGCCGCGUGAGUGAAGAAGUAAUUCGUUAUGUAAAGCUCUAUCAGCAGGGAAGAAAAUGACGGUACCUGAGUAAGACGCACCGGCUAACUACGUGCCAGCAGCCGCGGUAAUACGUAGGUGGCAAGCGUUAUCCGGAUGUACAGGGUGUAAAGGGCGCGUAGACGGCAGUGCAAGUCAGGGGUGAAAGGCGGGGUCUCAACCCUCGGACUGCUCUGGAAACUGUACAGCUGGAGUGCAGGAGAGGUAAGUGGAAUUCCAAGUGUAGCGGUGAAAUGCGUAGAUAUUAGGAGGAACACCAGUGGCGAAGGCGGCUUACUGGACUGUAACUGACGUUGAGGCUCGAAAGCGUGGGGAGCAAACAGGAUUAGAUACCCUUGUAGUC